rnacentral:tRNA from 3 species
GCAGAUGUGGUGGAACGGUAGACACGCUAUCUUGAGGUGGUAGUGGCAACAGCUGUGAGGGUUCAAAUCCCUCCAUCUGCACCA